GCGCCAUUGAAAGUGAAACCUCCACCCACUGAUGGUUCUUCGAGAAAGUUCCGCUAAUUUUUGGCUGCGGAGAUGUUUUUGGAAGCAUUUGUAGUACAGGGAAGUCUCAUACAUGGUUAUUGCCAACAGUUUUGGCAGUGCUGCUUAACAUGCAGGAAAUUUUCUUCAUUUAGCCUCAAGAUCAAUUAUUAACAAGCAGUAUGAAUCAACAACUUUUAGGAUGGGUGCUUCUGAGCUUGAUAUCGGCAGCUUAUGUUCUUCCCACACUGCCACCCAACAGACUCCAUGGCUUUGGCAAAGAAGAUAGCAGAAAAGCCCAAUAGCUCGAAGAAAGUCAUCCUUGAGGAUCGCAACGAUCUUGACGAUGUCUCCACCAAUCAAAUUAGUCAAACAGAUGGAGGUUUCUCCUGGAGCAAUAUGUUGGGCAUGGUGAUGCAACUGCUCUUCAUCCAUCAGGCUUGAACCAGCAAGUUGGACCAAGUAAUCUGAGGGCUUAGAUACAGAUCAGGUAUUGUCACCACGUCAAUAUUUCAAAAAUGACUUAUCGCGUUUACGAAAGAUGUUGCGGUGUCGUUGCCCGAUAACCUCUGGGAAGACAGGCAUAUGUGGCGUUUGGGUGUCGU
rnacentral:lncRNA from 1 species